GAAGGGACCUAGCGUAGUUCGGAAUUACUGGGCUUAAAGAGUUCGUAGGUGGUUGAAAAAGUUAGUGGUGAAAUCCCAGUGCUUAACUCUGGAACUGCCAUUAAAACUUUUCAGCUAGAGUAUGAUAGAGGAAAGCAGAAUUUCUAGUGUAGAGGUGAAAUUCGUAGAUAUUAGAAAGAAUACCAAUUGCGAAGGCAGCUUUCUGGAUCAUUACUGACACUGAGGAACGAAAGCAUGGGUAGCGAAGAGGAUUAGAUACCCUCGUAGUCCAUGCCGUAA
rnacentral:rRNA from 1 species